rfam:Parcubacteria group bacterium CG1_02_50_68 cg1_0.2_scaffold_3232_c, whole genome shotgun sequence.
GCGCUCUUAGCUCAGUUGGUUAGAGCGUUCGCUUCACACGCGAAAGGUCAGGGGUUCGAAUCCCUUAGAGCGCA